AGCAUAAUUAUUUGAUAUAUAUUGCAAAAUGAUCACCACAAGAAGUCUGGUGAACAUCUGUCACUAGAAAUAGUUAUAAUUUUCUUCUUGUGAUGAGAACAUCUAAGAUCUCUUAGCAGUGUUCAAAUAGGCAGAGGCGACCAAUUUCACAGAGCAUGCAUGAAAAAGCUGUAUAUUUCAAAGAAUCCUGCUAUGGGAUAGAUCCUUAGCACCAUCUCAGAGCUGGAUGGGAUGGAUGUGGAUUUAGCACUCGUCACUGAUUCAGCAUGCCAGGAUCUUGGUGUACAUAUCAACUUUAUGUGAAUCCCUGUUCAGGCACUUGAACAGGUUAUAAAAUGCAGAAUGACGUACAUCUUCAUCGUUGGACAGCAGGAAUGGAAUUGCUGACCAGUACAAGUGUUCCUUCUCCAACUUCCAUCUGAGUGGAAGAAUAAUCUGAAUACCCAAAAGAUAAAUGACUUCUUACAAUGGCAGGUAAAUCUCCAGAAGGUCAUCCAAGAACAUUAUCUGCUCAGCACCCAGGACCCCAUCAGUGGCUCUG